GGGAUCAAACUCACAUCCGCGUGGACACUAGUCAGAUUCGUCUCUGCUGUGCCACAAUGGGAACUCCCUGGAAACUUAUUCUUAAAUCAUCUUUCCAAAGUAACUAAUCUGUAAGAUUUAUUUUUGGAUUUACCUGGAGCCCUGAAAAUAUUUUGCAGAAGAGCAAUGAAGGAACAUUUUUUUCCCUACUCUAUAUGGAAAUGUGCUUUAUACUUUAUGAAAGUCACAGCAUGGAAACAGACAGGAGCAGCAAAUGCAAGUCACAGGCUCUUGCCUCUGCAAAGAAGCCGUCUUCUCUCUGGGGCCACGUCCGUGGCCUGAGAAAAUGACAUUCUUCAUGAGAUCGCUGUGUUUUCUACAGUAGCUGCUGGCUCAGAAACGUGAGCAGCAUGGAUGCCAUGGCUUUUUAUUAUUGAUAAAGAAAUAUGUUUCUAGUUCAUCGAAUUACACUUCAGGGCCCUGCCAGGCCAAAAGUCUAUGUAACUAAUGACCGGGGUUCUUCAGUUGCAAAGAAUGUCGGUUCCCUUCCAGGAGAAAAGCUUGUGGGAUGAUUGUUUAAAAGCUCCUGCCAACCCGGACAUGAGAAAAAAAAAGCUCUGGAGUGGAAACCAAGGAGCCCGUCCUGGGUGUUGGAUCAACUCCUGCACCUGGAAAAGGAGCAAAGACAGUCCCCAGCCUGCGUUCAGGAGUGAGAUGCUUCCAUGCCGCUGUUGACAGCAUGGGCUGGUCACUGCUCUGUAAAUGCACCUGGGGCCAUUGGCAACUGUUGCCAUUCUUGGAGGGAAAAUGCACCUGAAGAUGGAUGAAUUCUCUGCUGGUAAAACCUAACAUUGGUUGAAAUGGAGGGGUGCACGUGUGCAAAAUUCCUAGCUCCUUCUGUCUAAAUGUGGGCUCACCAGAAGGGGGCCCUGAGGCAAACUCAAGUACAAGUUUCCUUUGGGAGGUGAUCCAGAUAGGAGAGUCGGGAAGCGAGAUCGAGAAGCAUCGGCAGCCAAUCAGAGGAGUGGCAUAAAGCCCGUUGUCACCCUGGGCAGCGGGUGCUUCAUCCUGCUGAGAACUAUGACAAACAGUGCAGAACAUGCCUCAUUUACCUCGCCCGGUGGCGCCGGAGUUUACACCUCACCUCCCGUAUUCUCCUGCGGCAAAGAGCUGUAUUAAUUCUCCAGCGUAUCCAGCCUGCAGUAUCUGGGCAGAGUGCCCUUUCUUAGCUUUGGAGAAAAGUCCGCAGGCACAGAGAUGCAAGUGCUGGGAGUUAGCUGGCAGGAAAAUGGUGGGACCCCAUGAAUGUGGGCUGGCACUGGUGCCUUGGGAACCCCCCUUGUCCAUGUUUCUCUUUUUCCAUUUUUUUAAUACUGUAAAAGGAGCUA
ensembl:lncRNA